GAUGAACGCUGGCGGCGUGCCUAAUACAUGCAAGUCGAGCGAAGCGGGGACGGGUGAGUAAAACGUGGAUAACCUCCUCUAAGACUGGGAUAACUUCGGGCAACCGGAGCUAAACCGGAUACUUAACGAUGGAGCCACGGUGCAUUAGCUAGUUGGUAAGGUAACGGCUUACCCAGGCAACGAUGCAUAGCCGUCCUGAGAGGGUGAUCGGCAACACUGGAACUGAGACACGGUCCAGACUCCUACGGGAGGCAGCAGGAGGGAAUCUUCCGCAAUGGGCGAAAGCCUGGCGGAGCAAUGCCGCGUGGUGGAUGAAGGUCUUCGGAUCGUAAAACUCUGUUAUUGGGGAGGCGGUACCUGAUCAGAAAGCCACGGCUAACUACGUGCCAGCAGCCGCGGUAAUUC
rnacentral:rRNA from 1 species